ACUCCUGCGGGAGGCAGCAGUGGGGAAUUUUGGACACUGGGCGAAAGCCUGAUCCAGCAAUGCCGCGUGAGUGAAGAAGGCCUUCGGGUUGUAAAGCUCUUUUGUCAGGGAAGAAACGGUGAAAGCUAAUAUCUUUUGCUAAUGACGGUACCUGAAGAAUAAGCACCGGCUAACUACGUGCCAGCAGCCGCGGUAAUACGUAGGGUGCAAGCGUUAAUCGGAAUUACUGGGCGUAAAGCGUGCGCAGGCGGUUUUGUAAGUCUGAUGUGAAAUCCCCGGGCUCAACCUGGGAAUUGCAUUGGAGACUGCAAGGCUAGAAUCUGGCAGAGGGGGGUAGAAUUCCACGUGUAGCAGUGAAAUGCGUAGAUAUGUGGAGGAACACCGAUGGCGAAGGCAGCCCCCUGGGUCAAGAUUGACGCUCAUGCACGAAAGCGUGGGGAGCAAACAGGAUUAGAUACCCGAGUAGUCCC
rnacentral:rRNA from 1 species